CGUGCCUAAUACAUGCAAGUCGAGCGGACGAUUCAAAAGCUUGCUUUUGGAUCGUUAGCGGCGGACGGGUGAGUAACACGUGGGCAACCUGCCCUGUAGACGGGGAUAACACCGAGAAAUCGGUGCUAAUACCGGAUAACACGGAAGACCGCAUGGUUUUUCGUUGAAAGGCGGCGCAAGCUGUCGCUACAGGAUGGGCCCGCGGCGCAUUAGCUAGUUGGUGAGGUAACGGCUCACCAAGGCGACGAUGCGUAGCCGACCUGAGAGGGUGAUCGGCCACACUGGGACUGAGACACGGCCCAGACUCCUACGGGAGGCAGCAGUAGGGAAUCUUCCGCAAUGGACGAAAGUCUGACGGAGCAACGCCGCGUGAGCGAAGAAGGCCUUCGGGUCGUAAAGCUCUGUUGUUAGGGAAGAACAAGUACCGCAGUCACUGGCGGUACCUUGACGGUACCUAACGAGAAAGCCACGGCUAACUACGUGCCAGCAGCCGCGGUAAUACGUAGGUGGCAAGCGUUGUCCGGAAUUAUUGGGCGUAAAGCGCGCGCAGGCGGUUCCUUAAGUCUGAUGUGAAAGCCCACGGCUCAACCGUGGAGGGUCAUUGGAAACUGGGGGACUUGAGUGCAGAAGAGGAGAGCGGAAUUCCACGUGUAGCGGUGAAAUGCGUAGAGAUGUGGAGGAACACCAGUGGCGAAGGCGGCUCUCUGGUCUGUAACUGACGCUGAGGCGCGAAA
rnacentral:rRNA from 1 species